rnacentral:pre_miRNA from 1 species
GAUAUCAACUGAAAAAGUCAUCAACAACAAAGUUGAAUAACUCAUCAAGAUCUAAAACUUUUAUUUAGGUCAUUUCUUCAUACGACAAAGUGAUAGUAACAUUGUUAACAAAAUUGACAUAUCUCUUAUCUGGUUUUAUAAACUAUAACACAUAUAUGUAAAAUUUAUGAAUAAUAUUACUAACAUUUCGUCAGAUGAAGAAAUAACAAAAAUAAAAGUUUUAGAUCUUGAUAAGUUAUUCAACUUUGUUGUUGAUGACUUUUUCAAUUGAAAUC